UGAGCUCCUAGGAUUUCAAGGUUUUCUUCAACAACUGUUCUCUUUAUUUAAAAAUCAUCUUUUUUUCAAGUGAUAGAUGUUGAUCUUAUUUUUUAGCUGAAGUUAUCCAUAUAUCUGGUUUUAAAAGUCAUAUACCAUUUUCUUGGACUUCACUAUAAACAGCCCCUUCCACUUUGUAGUAUAAUGCCUAGGACAAUCCCUUUCAGUUUUCCUGACAUGUAAUGAUUUCUAAACAUUG
rnacentral:lncRNA from 1 species